AUUGAACGCUGGCGGCAGGCCUAACACAUGCAAGUCGAACGGUAACAGGAAGACGCUUGCUUCUUUGCUGACGAGUGGCGGACGGGUGAGUAAUGUCUGGGAAACUGCCUGAUGGAGGGGGAUAACUACUGGAAACGGUAGCUAUACCGCAUAACGUCGCAAGACCAAAGAGGGGGACCUUCGGGCCUCUUGCCAUCGGAUGUGCCCAGAUGGGAUUAGCUUGUUGGUGGGGUAACGGCUCACCAAGGCGACGAUCCCUAGCUGGUCUGAGAGGAUGACCAGCCACACUGGAACUGAGACACGGUCCAGACUCCUACGGGAGGCAGCAGUGGGGAAUAUUGCACAAUGGGCGCAAGCCUGAUGCAGCCAUGCCGCGUGUAUGAAGAAGGCCUUCGGGUUGUAAAGUACUUUCAGCGGGGAGGAAGGGAGUAAAGUUAAUACCUUUGCUCAUUGACGUUACCCGCAGAAGAAGCACCGGCUAACUCCGUG
rnacentral:rRNA from 1 species